rnacentral:rRNA from 1 species
AUUGAACGCUGGCGGCAUGCCUUACACAUGCAAGUCGAACGGCAGCACGGGGGCAACCCUGGUGGCGAGUGGCGAACGGGUGAGUAAUGCAUCGGAACGUGCCCAGUAGUGGGGGAUAACCCGGCGAAAGCCGGGCUAAUACCGCAUACGACCUACGGGUGAAAGCGGGGGACCGUAAGGCCUCGCGCUAUUGGAGCGGCCGAUGUCUGAUUAGUUAGUUGGCGGGGUAAAGGCCCACCAAGGCGACGAUCAGUAGCUGGUCUGAGAGGACGACCAGCCACACUGGGACUGAGACACGGCCCAGACUCCUACGGGAGGCAGCAGUGGGGAAUUUUGGACAAUGGGCGCAAGCCUGAUCCAGCCAUGCCGCGUGCGGGAAGAAGGCCUUCGGGUUGUAAACCGCUUUUGGCAGGAACGAAACGGCGCAAGCUAAUACCUUGCGCUAAUGACGGUACCUGCAGAAUAAGCACCGGCUAACUACGUGCCAGCAGCCGCUGUAACAC